rnacentral:rRNA from 1 species
CACCGCGGUUACACGAGAGGCCCGAGCUGAUAGACAUCGGCGUAAAGGGUGGUUAAUAAAGAAAAAUUACUAAAGUCAAACACCUUCAAAGCUGUUAUACGCUCUCGAAGAUAGGAAGCCCGUCCACGAAAGUGACUUUAAUAACUAUGACCCCACGAAAGCUAGGACA